UACGGGGGGAGCAAGCGUUGUUCGGAUUUACUGGGCGUAAAGGGCGCGUAGGUGGCGCUGCAAGUCGGUGGUGAAAGCUCGAUGCUUAACAUCGAGUCGGCCAUCGAAACUGCAGGGCUCGAGCACUGUAGGGGCAGAUGGAAUUCCGGGUGUAGCGGUGGAAUGCGUAGAGAUCCGGAGGAACACCAGAGGCGAAGGCGGCCUACUGGGCUGCACCUGACGCUGAGCCGCGAAAGCCAGGGGAGCGAACGGG
rnacentral:rRNA from 1 species